rnacentral:lncRNA from 1 species
AUCCUUUUUCAAUUUAUGAUUUUUUAUCUGCUUUCAAUUUUCUGUGUUUUUUUUAUACCCUGCUACUGCUGUUUUCUUUUUUCACUUCUUAUUCUCUUUAAUGUCGGUGCUGAUUUAGUGAUCUUUUAUUAUGUUUGUCCCCCCCCCUUUUUUUUUCCCGGGAUGUGUUUCAUCCUUCCCUUCAUGGUUUCCCUCUUUUAAAUUUGUUGGAUAUUUUCAUUGAUUUAUUGAGGCUAUGAUGAUACCUAAUAAAAAAAAAAGGUUGUUUAGUGUCAAACUCAUGAUAUGCAAUGGUUCUUUACCAUGCAAAUGCGGUUAACUGAUAGUAGUGGAUUGUGUGUCCUGCACAAAGGCAACCAUCUGCUGCGGAUUUGGACAGACUGUGCACGCCUACCCAACUUCUACUGUUGGCUUUACAUUCUGGUUUGCACUAUUAUUAUUUUUUUUCUUUGUUUUGGACCUAUCUAAGCAACUGCAACAUGACCACUUGGCUCUCAUUGAUAACAUGUGAAGAAUAGAAUAUUGAACUUAAAUGCCGUGCUAUCAUUCAAUGGAAAAUUGUCUCUAAUAUACAUGAAGAAGACGUAAAAAAAGGAAAGUAAUUAAGGCUAAACAAGGUAAGUAUAUUAGCCUUAAUAAGGAAGAAAACGGAAAAUAAUAAAAGAUAAUUACGAUACAUAAUUAGGGACCAUAUAAAGUAAGUAUUUGAAUAUUUGCCUUAAUACCCUCCCUCAAACUGAGGAUGCUUUGUCAAAAAGUAGCUGAAGUUUGGAUAAGAGAAAUUUGAAUCGCUCUAAAGGGUGCGACUUGGUAAGGAGAUCUGCAAUUUGCUGUUUAGAAGAUAUAUUGUCACGCGCCGUGCACCGCCUAUUUGGUCGGGUUCGGGCACGCCAACAGACCGCCGAACGGACAGGGUUCCCCUAUACUGCAGACAGAGUCUCCCUUGUACGUCCAAGGCGUCGCAAUCGAUACAAUUCACGGUGUUCCAACCAGGAACCGAAUUCAACCAAGGAUUGCAUAAGGAAGUAUCAAAAACAUAAAAUAACUAAGUUAUUACAACAUUCAUCUUAGGUGUAUUUUACAUCACAAUUUUCUUUUACAAUCAACUUCCAAAAUACAAUCUAGUUACAAUAAAUUAUUACAAGUUUGUUUUUUUGUCUUCAAACCCCUAAGCUAGACCACCUCGGGGUACCGCUAUCUCAGUCUCGGAGGUAGGGCCGCUAUCUAUAGAGCUAUGACCUUGCCUCGCGCCGCCGCGCCGCUCACGUGCGAACCUGUAACACCCCAAAACAACGUAGGAUGAGAACCAACUCCAUGGUUCCCAGUGGGUGCGGCCACCCAAGGAAAAAGCUCAACCAAUAGGUCUAAGGAGGCACUACAACAUGUUAGUCCAACAGAUAUAUAAAUGAAUAAGGAAAAACAUGCUAUGCCUCACGAUAUGCGAUAUGAAAUUCAUGCAACUAUGCAAGUAGAUUACUGAUUUUACUCUCUAUUAUUUACCAUUCUUUAGCAUUAGCCUUUCUUUAUUCUUAGCUAUUCUUACUUGUAGCCGUUCUUUACUUUAUUAGCUUGUCACAUUAAGCUCAUUGGCGAUUCUUUCCUAAGGUUACCUUUACCUUAGCCAUCUAUGCCACUCGCCUCGUUCUUGAGUCAAUCCACUGCGGAUAAUCCGCGCUCUGUCGGCUUGAGGUGAAGGAACUCUCACAUGCACCUCAGCCUACCACAACCUGCCGCACUUUAUGACUGAGCCAGCCGGCGGCGAAAUCGUCGCACAUACGCCACGACAAUGGCUCAAGUCAAGCGGUGGUAUAAUCCACAAACUAGCAUAACAAUCCGGCGGCGAAAUCGUCGCACACGCCACGUCAAUGGUUAGCCCCGGACGGCGAAAUCGUCGCACACGCCCAACACCACUUUGGGUAUUCCAUAAGCUCAGGGAUUCCGGAAUCCAUUUCCACAUAACUCGAGGGUUGGUCUUAACCCUAUGGUAUCGACCUACUCAGGUCCAUUAUCCUCUCCAUUCUAGGUUCAUUUGACUCUAGGUUUAACACUUUUAUCACAUAACCUAGGUUAGUUUAACUCUAGGUUUAUCUCAUAACCUAUAUUCUUUAACACUAGGUUCAUAUUCAUUCUUAUCCAUCCUAGGUCCAUGACGCUAGGUUCAUACUCAACCUAUGUUCAAUAACACCACACUUGUUCAAUCUAUGUUCUUUAACACUAGGUUUACAUGCCACACUUGUUCAACCUAUGUUCUUUAACACUAAGUUUACAUGCCACACUUGUUCAACCUAUAUUCUUUAACACUAGGGGCGUGUUUGGUUCGCUUCUUUUUCACUAUGGAAUUGGAAUAGGAAUGGGUGAAUUCGUUUGUGGGUGUUUGGUACGCGGGAGUCUUAUUCCGAUUCUGAUUCCCGAGUGGAAUGGAAAUCCCCCAAUCACCCCUUUUUUCAAUCCGGCCUCCUAGGCCGGAUUGGAAGUUGAAUGUAGUAUACUGAAUUUAUGUACAUUGCGAAGUUCGAGUAAGGGGAAUGAUGUUUGGAACCUUCCCACAUGUUAUAAAGGGUUUAAAGAUAUUUAUGAAUAAGUUUAAGAGUAAACGGAAUGUGGGAAGUGAGAAAGUGCUUUGCAAUCUCGAAAUUUGGCCAUUCUGCAUUGGUGUACCGGUACAGGCCUCAUGCUGUACCGAUACAGCAAGCAGCAGAGUUAGCUGCUGCGGGACAGCAGGGCCAUUUUGGUCUUUUUUACUUCCUGUUCUUAUCUCCACUGACCGAGCUCGACCUUUGAACUUAUCUGAAGGAUGCUGAGGCUUAGAGGAAGGGUUUGGUCUUCCUCCUACUUUCUCUUUCUAAGGGUUUUUCUCUCUCUAAGAUGAAAUAAGGCCUUUAGCUUAUUUCCUCUCUCUUUUUGAUGUCAGCUAACCAAGGAGACUUGAUGGAACCUGUUUGCUGAGAAAAGAGAUAUCUGGGGUUAAGUUAUUUACAAUUCUAAUCUAGGAACACCUAAGUUGGAGCUUUGGAAGGUAUGUAUUUGACUUCUCUAUAGUUUAAAGUUUAGGUAGUGAAUUUCGGCUUGUUGUAGCAGCCGGUUUGGAGAGCAUGGUUUAACAGCUGUGGAGAUCAGAGUUGUGAUGUUUCAUCAGUUAAGAAUCGGAGAAAACUGCUGAAGGAAAGUUUAGAAAAGGUAAUUAAUGGAUUAAUUACUCUUUCAUUACGAUUAUACCAAGUUUAUUGUUGAAUAUUAGGCUGAUUUGGCGAUAGUUCGCAGCGAGCUUGCGACUGAUCAUCGGAUGGUUUCGCGAUAGAUAUUUGAGAGUUUCUAAGAGUUAAAUCUUGUAUUUGAUCCUGAGCUAAACAGGGGUCCAAGCCGUAGCCUUAUAUAAGGUGAGAAUUUUGCUGAAUAGAAGGUACUUGAUGCUGUUUUAGUGCAGAUUUCUACGCUCAUUCGCAGCAGGUUCACUGCAGGAAAUCGGACACUUUGAACAUUAAUCCGCAGCCCUCAAGAAAUUAGAUGUGGUGCACUCUAACCUGAUCUUAGUGGGGUUCAAGUUUCGAUUACAUAUUAGGUAUAUUGGAAACCUAAUUUAUGAUGUUUAUUUAGGAUACUUGAAGAAUAUUGAAUUGAGUUCUUUGCUGAUUUUAAUAUGUUUGUUAGGGCAAGUGUGGACCAGCGAGGACCCUCGAUACGUGAACAAGUUGCCGUUUAGUAAGUGGGUUUGACUUCACCAGAGCAAGUGAACCUCCCUAUGUUCUAUAUGAUACUAUAGAAUUACUUACAUGUGCAAAUACAUGAACAAGUACUCAAUAUCAAGUAAUGAAUGCUAUAAACAUAUUGAUCUUCUUGAAUUGAAUGGAACCUCGAUUAAGUAAGAAGAAGAAUCAUGAGAAAGGAAUUAUUGUGAGUCUCAAUGCAUGGACAUUAUAUGCUUUGUUACGCCUUUAUGAAAUAGAGAACAAGAGGUUAGAUACAAUGGUAUUGACAAGCUCAAGGCUAAUGACAUAUAUGUACAAUUACAUUGCUUUCAUGUACACCUUGAAUCUAGUAGUUACUAGUAUGUUACUUUAUGACUGAAUCCCGACCUAAAGGGCGGGAGUUGAACCUUACAUGUUCAGACAUGCUAUUUGAGAACUGUUGGGUUAUGAAUUAUGCUUGCUUGCCAUUGUGCUCAUUCGCACAAGCUUGUGAGGGUCGCUUCCUACAAACCGGCACUCCGGAGUUGGCCUACGCGACAGAUGCUUGCCCGUGCGGGAUUGAGUGCCGAAGUGGAUUGCCGUGGGGAGUGUAUACUACCACGGGGCCAUUAGGCGCGGCACAAGCUGGACUACCUUGAGUAGGUCCCUAUGAAUUAAAUCAAUGUAAUAAAUGAUGACAGCAGAGGAUUAUCACUGAGUAGUAUACAGUUACAUUUUCACUUGACAUAUUUGUGCUCAUUGUGAUUGCCUUACUAGUUCUGGUUAAUGAAUAUAUCUGAUAGCAUGCUAUACAUUCAUAGUUCUUUAUCAUUGAUAAAUUACCAUGUUAUAAUUGCUUUACAUUUUUUAGCAAAUCAUUAUGAGCCUAGUGGUGUAAUUCGUCGAGGCUGGCGGCUUACCCACUGGGAACUAUUGUUAAUAGUUCUCACGCCCUUUUUAUUGUUAUUUUUUUCCAGAGCCACCUACAGGAGAGGCUAGGGAUCGUGGCAAGGGAGUUGCGUCUAGCUAGACAUUGCUAGGAGCUUGCUAGUUGAUCACCUUGCUACUCGGGCUACGGCCGAGGGUGAUGUCCCAGUGCAUAGAGAGACUACCAUUGUACAUAGGUUUUGUGUACUCUGUGAUGUAUAUGAGUAUUUGAACCAGAUGUUAUAGUUUUAGUACUUUUUGUUGCACUUACAUUCUUGAGUUAGUUACUCUUUGUUCUUCUGUUGAUUGUAUUUUGGACUUAUACGCUGCUCUGAUAUCAGGAUAGGAUUUUCUAUGUUUCCUUUCCUUCGACUUGUUUCUUGUAGACGCCUUAUAUACUGCAGGUGUAUGGCGGGUCUGUGCACGCACUGGAUAUGCUUCUGCUGGUACCCGCGCGUGACAGAUUAUAGUGGUAUCAGAGCCUAGGGUUGAGUCUUUGUGGACCUAGUGAACCUUAGGCUGGUUGGACUAUAAGAAUAGGCUCGUGAGAGACGAUGUCUAGUUAAGUUUUUAGCGAAAGUAUUUUGAUUCGGUAAUUUAUAAACUCCGAAGGGUGGGAGUUUGAUUGGAAUGUGCAAAUACUAACUUUGCAGAGGGCCACGUUGGCGGCCGACAACGUGACAUCGGAAGUUAGUAUCUGUUAUAUUUUAAUACUUUCGCUGGAUUUGGGUGAUUAAAAUGAGUAGUGUGGUUUGAAUAGAGUAGGUUUUAUUAACUAUGUUUAUUUUUGUUGCAGCAUAGGAUGCCUGUGACUCGUUCUACGGCUGCUGGAGCAGCCGAGGCAGCUGACGCAGAGGAAGUUGGGACUUCCGCUACCUCCGGAUCGAGUGAGGUUCGGGAGUUACAGGAUCAGCUUGCGGUGCUGACAGACUUAGUGACCCAGCAGGCAGUGACAGGUUAACAGCAGAUGGAUGCCGCACGUCGACAGGAGGAAAGAAUGAAGAGGUUAGAGGAUUUGCUACUGCGGCAGAUGACAGAUAGAGAGGUUCCAGAUUCUACGCCAGCAGUACCAGAUAGGGAUACGACUGCUAGAGCACAGUCACU